AUUGAACGCUGGCGGCAUGCUUUACACAUGCAAGUCGAACGGUAACAGGCCGCAAGGUGCUGACGAGUGGCGAACGGGUGAGUAAUGCAUCGGAACGUGCCCAGUCGUGGGGGAUAACGCGGCGAAAGCUGCGCUAAUACCGCAUACGAUCUCAGGAUGAAAGCGGGGGACCGAAAGGCCUCGCGCGAUUGGAGCGGCCGAUGUCAGAUUAGGUAGUUGGUGGGGUAAAGGCCCACCAAGCCAACGCUCUGUAGCUGGUCUGAGAGGACGACCAGCCACACUGGGACUGAGACACGGCCCAGACUCCUACGGGAGGCAGCAGUGGGGAAUUUUGGACAAUGGGCGCAAGCCUGAUCCAGCAAUGCCGCGUGCAGGAAGAAGGCCUUCGGGUUGUAAACUGCUUUUGUACGGAACGAAACGGUCCGGGUUAAUACCCUGGGCUAAUGACGGUACCGUAAGAAUAAGCACCGGCUAACUACGUGCCAGCCGCCGCGGUAAAAC
rnacentral:rRNA from 1 species